rnacentral:rRNA from 1 species
GGAUUAGAUACCCUGGUAGUCCACGCCGUAAACUAUGAGAACUAGCCGUUGGGCUCCUUGAGGGCUUAGUGGCGCAGCUAACGCGAUAAGUUCUCCGCCUGGGGAGUACGGCCGCAAGGUUAAAACUCAAAUGAAUUGACGGGGGCCCGCACAAGCGGUGGAGCAUGUUGUUUAAUUCGAUGCAACGCGAAGAACCUUACCACCCCUUGACAUCCUCAGAAUUUGUCAGAGAUGACUUAGUGCCUUCGGGAACUGAGUGACAGGUGCUGCAUGGCUGUCGUCAGCUCGUGCCG